AUGUCUCUUCCUCUCUCACGCACAGAAGCGCACAGAAGCGGCGCCGCCGACCUCUUCUUCUUCCUUCAUCAGCGGCGCGGCCUCUUCUUCACCACAAACAGAAUCGAACGGCGUCGGUAUCUUCGUCACCUCGCAUUGCUCCGUCUCAGUUUCCAUCCGCCGUGCUCAGCUCUCCUCCGCGAUUUCUGCUCUCAAACGUUUGGUUCAUAUCAGGGCUAUUGGGAAGCAAAGGCAAAAGGAAAACACCAAGAUGAUAUGAAGUUGGAACAAAGGCGCAUAACACGAAGUUUUGGAAGCUUGAAGUUUGAAACAUGA